rnacentral:rRNA from 1 species
GAUGAACGCUAGCGGCAGGCUAAAUACAUGCAAUUCAGGGAGCAGCAGGACUGUAUCAAUACAGUUGCUUACGACCGGCAAACGGGUUAGGAACACGUACGCAACUUACUCAGAACUGGGGGAUAGCGCGAGGAAACCCGGAAUAAUACCUCGUAAUAUAAUGGAGUGGCAUCACUUUAUUAUUAAAGCUCCGGCGUCUCGGGAUGGGCGUGCGGCUGAUUAGGUAGUUGGUUGAGGUAACGGCGCACCAAGCCUACGAUCAGUAACUGGUGUGAGAGCACGACAAGUUAGACGGGCACUGAGACACGGGCCCGACUCGUACGGGACGCAGCAGUAAGGAAUAUUGGGCAAUGGAGCCUACUCUGACCCAGCCAUGCCGCGUGGAGGAUGAAGGCCAUCGGGGUUCUAAACUUCUUUUAUAGGGGACGUGUCCUGUGUACUCUUCCGCAGUUGACGGUACCUUAUGAAUAAGCACCGGCUAACUCCGUG